rnacentral:pre_miRNA from 1 species
AUGUAGGGCAAUUUGUCUUUAUGUAGGACUAAAUUAAUCUUCAAAAGAAAAAGAGUCCUAGAUAGUUUUCCUUUUAAGUCAAGUGCCUUGU